UCGGAUCGCAGGCUGCAACCCGCCUGCGUGAAGUCGGAAUCGCUAGUAAUCGCGGAUCAGCAUGCCGCGGUGAAUACGUUCCCGGGCCUUGUACACACCGCCCGUCACACCAUGAGAGUCGGGAACACCCGAAGUCCGUAGCCUAACCGCAAGGAGGGCGCGGCCGAAGGUGGGUUCGAUAAUUGGGGUGAAGUCGUAACAAGGUACC
rnacentral:rRNA from 1 species